rnacentral:rRNA from 1 species
AUGGCGCUGGAAAAGGUGAUCCACAUGGCCGUCAUCGAGGUGAACGAGGAAGGCACAGAGGCGGCGGCCGCCACUUACAUGACGCGCCUUGGAUGCACACCGGACUCGCGGCCGCCUGCACCGUGUGUGGACUUCGUGGCUGACCAUCCAUUUGCCUUCUUCAUCGUCGAGGAGGUGUCAGGCGCGAUUCUGUUCGCGGGGCAUGUCCUUGAUCCCACCAUCAAGUGA